AUUUCAUAGAUUUAUGAGUUGGAAUAAUAACAACAUCAUCAGCAAUGCCAAGAGAGACGAGCCCUGGCUUGAAGAUCCUCUGGCUAUGGACGAUUGGCACUGCUGGCAUUCUUGUUACAAGUGUGAUGAGGACAAGGCUAAGAGACAUGGAACAACAGCUCACCAGAACUCAAGAGCAAGAGGCCACUCCCAAUGACUCAAUCAUAACUGACGUGGUACCUGAAUCUGAGGGAUUUCUUAUAGAAGACAGGCAAUGAUGUUGCAGCUCAAGUAGCUUCACAAGGAUGCGACAAAGUGGUGUUGGUGAGCCAAGGAGGGUUUCUCACAUAGGUUUUUUUUUUUCUCUUUAAUCUAAAUUAUUGUGCUCAGGCAAAGAAAAAAAGCGGUUUCUUGAUUCAAUUUGCGCAAGAUCCAGUUGUUUAGUAUGGAAACAAAGCAAUAAGAGUAGGAAUGGAUUGGUUUUGCUACUUACUAUGCUCAUAACAGAAGCAGCAUCAAUUUUCUUUUCUUACGGUUAUAUUUCCUGUUUCUGCCAGCUAAUGUUUUUUAUCAUAUCCAUUGUCAACUCAUUAAAAAACAGAAUGUUUGGAAACUUCUUUAUUUA